UAUUACUUAGAGGCUUCCUUCCAAACUGAGCUCUUUGGAACUCCGAACUGUUCUACUUAACCUGAGUGUUACUACCCUCAGUAAUUUUGUUUUUAGGUCAGGGUAUCAGAGGAAAUCAGACAGAUCCCAUCUGUUUCCAGCGGAGUCCUUUAUUGUCUCUGUAAUAGUAUAGUAUCAACAUACAUUCCUAGGGAUUUCUGAGUUGUGUGGAGUUAUCUUAUUUGGCCCCCCUGGAAUUAUUUUCCUUCUGAGUUUACCAGCCAUUUCAGUUGAGAUGAUUUCUGGGAUUGUGGGAUACUUCCUGUCACCCUGCUAAGGACUAAAGGGCUAAGACCAGCUAAUCGUGAUGAUUCAUUAGUGUCUCAAGAACUCGGAGCGCAGGACAACAUACUGUAGCAGGAGAGCAAUGAAGGCCUUGGGGGGAAAAGAUGAGCUUCCUUUAGUUGGACUAAACUGACCUGAAACCUUUCAUUUGCUCUUUCUUAAAAACAAUCCUUAUGUAAUUUUUUUCAGUUUCAUAAUUUAUUCACAACCCAUUUGCUUCCUCUGAUCUUUUCAUCAACCUGGCCUGGCUCCCCAGCCUGGGCUCCCAGCACUGCUCCAGAGGAGCCGGUGGCAGGCCAUGGGUCCACCCAGGCCCCUUUUGGUCUCCAGGAGCGGGCAGGAGGAAGAGCUUGGCUUAUUUCAACAGCUCAGUGAUGCCAACCUCUCCACACACCCUGCCAUCACCGAUUGCUCAGGCCGCAGACACAGAGGCAGUUUCGUUCAGUGGGAUCUGGAACCAGUCUGUAUCCUCCAUGAACGAGCUGCUUUAUUUAAGAGCCACAUGGGACCGCAUCUGCACUUAAUCUCUCUGGAAUGGGUUAUGGAAUCAGCUGCUGUGAUUGAACUCUGCUGCCUGUCCACAUGGCGGAGGCCCAGGGCCACUCACCAAAGGCAAAACACUCUUUCCAUUGCUGCUUCUCUCUCUGUGCCCUUAGCCGGGACCCUUUUACUUCACUCUGCUGGGGAACCCCAUUUUCCAACUCAUGUCACUCUACAGCCAAAUUCCUCGUCUGUGAAGACACAACCAAGAAAACAUUCUUUAGCCUGA
rnacentral:lncRNA from 12 species